UCGGGAAUUUUGGGCAAUGGGCGAAAGCCUGACCCAGCAACGCCGCGUGAAGGAUGAAGUAUUUCGGUAUGUAAACUUCGAAAGAAUAGGAAGAAUAAAUGACGGUACUAUUUAUAAGGUCCGGCUAACUACGUGCCAGCAGCCGCGGUAAUACGUAGGGACCAAGCGUUGUUCGGAUUUACUGGGCGUAAAGGGCGCGUAGGCGGCAAUUCAAGUCAUCUGUGAAAUCUCCGGGCUUAACUCGGAACGGUCAGAUGAUACUGCUUUGCUAGAGUGCAGAAGGGGCAAUCGGAAUUCUUGGUGUAGCGGUGAAAUGCGUAGAUAUCGGAAAGAACACCAGUGGCGAAGGCGGCCACCUGGUUGGAUACUGACGCUGAGACGCGAAAGCGUGGGGAGCAAACAGGAUUAGAUACCCUAGUAUUCCCUGAGCGGGCUGGCAAGGCGCAU
rnacentral:rRNA from 1 species